rnacentral:rRNA from 1 species
UACAGAGGCCCCAAGCGUUACUGAGAAUCACUGGGUUUAAAGGGUGCGUAGGCGGCGCGUUAAGUCCGUUGUGAAAUCCCUUGGCUCAACCAAGGAAUGGCUUCGGAUACUGGCGUGCUUGAGGCCGGUAAGGGUCACUGGAACUGACGGUGGAGCGGUGAAAUGCGUAGAUAUCGUCAGGAACGCCAAUGGUGAAGACAGGUGACUGGGCCGGUACUGACACUGAGGCACGAAAGCGUGGGGAGCGAACGGG